GGUAAUCCACCCCUUGGUGGGGAAUAACCCGGGGAAACCUGGGCUAAUACCGCAUAAUCCCGAGAGGGCAAAGUCGAAAGACGCCGAUGGAGGAGCCCGCGGCCGAUUAGCUAGUUGGUAGGGUAAAAGCCUACCAAGGCUAUGAUCGGUAGCCGGCCUGAGAGGGCACACGGCCACACUGGCACUGAAACACGGGCCAGACUCCUACGGGAGGCAGCAGUGGG
rnacentral:misc_RNA from 1 species